GAUGAACGCUGGCGGCGUGCCUAAUACAUGCAAGUCGAGCGAAUGGAUUAAGAGCUUGCUCUUAUGAAGUUAGCGGCGGACGGGUGAGUAACACGUGGGUAACCUGCCCAUAAGACUGGGAUAACUCCGGGAAACCGGGGCUAAUACCGGAUAACAUUUUGAACCGCAUGGUUCGAAAUUGAAAGGCGGCUUCGGCUGUCACUUAUGGAUGGACCCGCGUCGCAUUAGCUAGUUGGUGAGGUAACGGCUCACCAAGGCAACGAUGCGUAGCCGGCCUGAGCGGGUGAGCGGCCACACUGGGACUGAGACACGGCCCAGACUCCUACGGGAGGCAGCAGUAGGGAAUCUUCCGCAAUGGACGAAAGUCUGACGGAGCAACGCCGCGUGAGUGAUGAAGGCUUUCGGGUCGUAAAACUCUGUUGUUAGGGAAGAACAAGUGCUAGUUGAAUAAGCUGGCACCUUGACGGUACCUAGCCAGAAAGCCACGGCUAACUACGUGCCAGCCGCCGCAGUAA
rnacentral:rRNA from 1 species